UCCUGGGGCCUCGCAGCCCCUGGGGCCCUGCACCCUCCAGAGGCCCCGAAUUCCCCUGGGGUCCCCGCACCCUCCAGAGGCCCCGAAUUCCUCUGGGUUCCCCACACCCUCCUGGAGCACUGCACCCUCCUGGGGCCUCGCACCCCCUGGGGCCCUGCACCCUCCAGAGGCCCCGAAUUCCUCUGGGGCCCUGCACCCUCCAGAGGCCCUGAAUUCCUCUGGGGUUCCCGCACCCUCCUGGAGCACUGCACCCUCCUGGGGCCUCGCACCCCCUGCAGCUCUCUCCAGGGGCCCCAAACUCCUCUGUGGCCCCUGCAUCUUCCUGCUGCACUGGGCCCCCCUGGGGCCCCGCACCCUCCUGGAACAUCGCACUCCCUUGGGGCCCUGAACUCCUCUGGGCCCCUGUACCUUCCUGAAGCCCUGCACCCCCCUGCUGCUCCUUCGGGCCCUAGACAGCCCCGGGAAGGGGUGAGUGGGGCAGUGGUCAGCAGUUUGUGCCUUGCUCUGGGAGGAUUAAAAAUAAGUUUUUUUUUAAGAUUUUAUUUAUUCAUGAGAGACACAGGGAGAGAGAGAGAGAGAGAGAGAAAGAGAGAGAGGCAGAGACACCGGCAGAGGGAGAAGCAGGCUCCAUGCAGGGAGCCUGACACGGGACUCGAUCCCAGGUCUCCAGGAUCACACCCUGGGCCGAAGUCAGCGCUAAACCGUGAGCCACCUGGGCUGCCCUAUAAAUUUGCUUUUUUAAGCGGGUUGUUGAGCUCUUCACCCCACAUCAAAGUGCUCGAACUCUAAUUUUUUGUUUACAGGCAUUUGUGAGCCCUUGUAAACCAACGUGAGAUUUUGUUUACAGGCAUUUGUGAGCCCUUGUAAACCAAUGUGAGACCCAAGCUUGGGGUUUGCCUGCAGGGAGUUUGAAAACUAGUGUUGAAGAUGAAAGAGCACAGGGAGAGGAAUCUGGGGGACUCCUGGGUGGGUCUUUGAUUUCUUCCUUUUCCUCAUCAAUAAAAGCCAGCUAAUGAUACUCUUCCCCCGUAGGCUUGUGAGGAUGAAAGUAAAUUAUUAGAAGUGAAAGUGCUCCAAGCACUUUCUGAACAGAAAGAGCAUACGCAGUCAGGGUACUUAUUAAACUGUUACCCUGGUGUCUCCUGGGGCUAUUCCCAGAUCACGCUCCACCCUCCUGCUCUCCCUGCCCCCCUACCCGGGCCCAAACUGCAAGCCAGAAACGCCCAGCAGUGGGCCUAGAAGCUGCUGAGGUGUCUGGGGAGCUCCUGAUGCCUCCCGGGGGCCUCCGGUGUCCUUGACCUCGAAAGCCAGUCCCUGGGGAGGGAGUGCGAGGAUCACCACACCCUGUCCAGUGCACCUCAGUGAGAGGGGUGGGCAGCAUCGAAAAACGCAGAAAAAACAAGGCGUGGGCCAGAAAGCUGGGGACAGGACUGUCACUGGGGGGCGAUGCAUUUUGAUCUUUCACUAACUUCCUCAUUGUCCCACUGUGAGGGCGGGCGGUGAGGGGGUGUGCGGGUUCCCCAGGAGAGCCGUCCAGCUGCGUAGCCAGCCCCGUGCCUGUGAGGAGACCGGCCCCACUGGCCUGUGUGUAGCUGCUGAGACCAGGGAUCCCGAGACGCCUGAAUGAAAAGCUGUUCCGUGGGAAGCAGCCAGUGAAAUCUUCCUGGCUUGGAGAGGUUUAAGGAGACUUGAAACUGUCCGUGAACUCAGCUCCUGGCAGCUGAAAGCUGGAGCCUUUGGACAAAGCAGCCCUCCUGUGAGUCUCUGUCUGGAAAAGCUCAGGCUUGUCAGAAGAAUUGGGCGUUUGUCCUAGCCAACACCUGAAGAUAGGCCCUUAACCUCCCUUUCUCAGAACACAUAAUAAAACGGGAUUCCAAGUGUGAAUUGUUCUUCUGUCCCUUUGAGAGGCAUAUAUACCUCCUAAAAAUGAUGUGUGUCUUUCUCAGGGACCUGAGAGCCAUUCCUUGGAAAUAUAAUCAUGGGGCCAGUGGGGCUCUGUCUCCCAGACUGUGUGGGAGGAUAGACUCCUAACUUCCAUAAUUGUCAGCUCGAAGACUCCACUGGCCAAAUCACAUUUACACUGACCAACCCUUUGUCAUUUUUUUGCUUGAGGAAGUCAUCCCAUCCCCACCUGUCCCUUAAAAAGCCCAAUCACUUUUGCACAAAUGGGAAUGGAGGUCAGCUCUUUUCCUGCUGUCAGUAGCUACCGAAUAAAAGGUUUUAAUCUUAA